rnacentral:lncRNA from 1 species
GAGCUAUCAAUUGCAUUGUUAAUUCUUUAGGAGCUGGCAAACCUAACCUUAACUUCUGUGUUAACUGGUUAGCUGCAUCACUUUUAAUUAUCUUGUUCAUGGUUUGUGGGAGAAGUUGGAGGGACUACUCAAGAUGAUUUGGUCCAUCUGUACUUGUGUUACUGACUCUUCCGUCCCUCUGUAACUUUGGAGCUUCCUUAAUGAAUUUACCCUUCAUUGUAGUUCAGUUUUUUUUAACAUCAAGGCAGCAAAGGAAGGGCAGUAUGGGGAAGUGAAAAGGCCACCACUAUACAGCUCUCCUUCACCACAUCCUUCUCUUUUCUAGUUGAGGCAGCAGUUUGCCUCACGUUAAAACCAAGCUAGUUUCUUUUCCCCCAACCCAGGGAUCCUGAAGUGUUACUGAGAAUUGCUCUGAGAGCCAUCAAUUUUCCCGUCUCUCUUGUGGCAUCUUCAGGGUUACUUUGAAUAAGAAGCCAGCAACCUAUAGUUGUUUUAUAAUGUUUUCAAAAACCAAAAUGAAUAUAUUUUUGAUUGUUGGAAAAAUGACUGAAUUAGUCAUUUUUGAAGCCUAAGUCAAAGCAAAGUAUAAAUCUCUUUUACUUUAAAUAUUGGCAGUAAUUCUGUUUCAUAAGAAAUAAAAGUAAACUAAGGAAGAAUACCUACGUGGAGACAUUUUAUAAAGAGCACUUCAGGAAGAUUUCCUUGUCUCCUGAAGGAGAAAAUAAAAACAUGGGGGAAUUUACUCAGAACUUUUGUUUGAUUUUUUUGUAUAGUAAAUGGAAACUGCUACAAGUCUGUCCACUUAACGUAUAUUUCAAGUUUUCCAAAGCUUAUCCAUUUUUAAGAAUUUUCUGAAAAAUUUAAGUGCAGAACUUAUACC